CAAAGACCCCCACCAGUACUAUCAUUCACUUCAUAGAAUCUAUUCACUCAGUGAUCUCCACUGGAACUUCUGUGCUGGUUGUCUCUGCAGCUGGUGCUUCAGCUGGCUUCUCUUCUUCUGCUGGUUUCUCUUCCUCAACAGGAGCUGGUGCUGCCUCCUUCUUGGUCUCUUCUUUGGGCUCCUCAGUAACAGUUUCUGCAGGAGUCUCCUCAGGAGUUUCUUCUACUGCUGGAGCUGCAACCUCUUCAGGCUCAGCUUUUGCUGGUUCUUCAACAACCUCCUUGGUUUCAACCUCAACUGCAGGUUCAGCUUCAGGUUCUGCGGCCGGGGCAACAGCGGGUGCUGCUUCUGUUAGUUCUUCGGCUACUGGCUCAGAGGCGGGUGGUGCAGUUUCAGUGGUUGUCUCCUCGGUCUUG
rnacentral:lncRNA from 1 species